rnacentral:rRNA from 1 species
CCUACGGGAGGCAGCAGUGGGGAAUAUUGGGCAAUGGGCGCAAGCCUGACCCAGCAACGCCGCGUGAAGGAAGAAGGCUUUCGGGUUGUAAACUUCUUUUGUCAGGGAAGAGUAGAAGACGGUACCUGACGAAUAAGCCACGGCUAACUACGUGCCAGCAGCCGCGGUAAUACGUAGGUGGCAAGCGGUGUCCGGAUUUACUGGGUGUAAAGGGCGUGUAGCCGGGUUGACAAGUCAUAUGUGAAAUCCUGCGGCUUAACCGCCGAACUGCAUUUGAAACUGUUGAUCUUGAGUACUGGAGAGGCAGACGGAAUUCCUAGUGGAGCGGUGAAAUGCGUAGAUAUUAGGAGGAACACCAGUGGCGAAGGCGGUCUGCUGGACAGCAACUGACGGUGAGGCGCGAAAGCGUGGGGAGCAAACAGGAUUAGAUACCCCAGUAGUC